rnacentral:rRNA from 1 species
GCCUACAGCCAUACCACCCUGAACGCGCCCGAUCUCGUCUGAUCUCAGAAGCUAAGCAGGGUCGGGCCUGGUUAGUACUUGGAUGGGAGACCACCUGGGAAUACCGGGCGCCGUAGGCU